UACGUAGGGUGCAAGCGUUGUCCGGAAUUAUUGGGCGUAAAGAGCUCGUAGGCGGUUUGUCGCGUCUGCCGUGAAAACCCGAGGCUUAACCUCGUGGCUUGCGGUGGAUACGGGCAGACUAGAGGUAGGUAGGGGGAGAAUGAAUUCCCGGUGUAGCGGUGAAAUGCGCAGAUAUCGGGAGGAACACCGGUGGCGAAGGCGGUUCUCUGGGCCUUACCUGACGCUGAGGAGCGAAAGCGUGGGGAGCAAACAGG
rnacentral:rRNA from 1 species